rnacentral:rRNA from 1 species
AUUGAACGCUGGCGGCAGGCCUAACACAUGCAAGUCGAGCGGAUGAAGGGAGCUUGCUCCUGGAUUCAGCGGCGGACGGGUGAGUAAUGCCUAGGAAUCUGCCUGGUAGUGGGGGAUAACGUCCGGAAACGGGCGCUAAUACCGCAUACGUCCUGAGCGAGAAAGUGGGGGAUCUUCGGACCUCACGCUAUCAGAUGAGCCUAGGUCGGAUUGGCUAGUUGGUGGGGUAAAGGCCUACCAAGGCGACGAUCCGUAACUGGUCUGAGAGGAUGAUCAGUCACACUGGAACUGAGACACGGUCCAGAGUCCUACGGGAGGCAGCAGUGGGGAAUAUUGGACAAUGGGCGAAAGCCUGAUCCAGCCAUGCCGCGUGUGUGAAGAAGGUCUUCGGAUUGUAAAGCACUUUAAGUGGGGAGGAAGGGCAGUAAGUUAAUACCUUGCUGUUUUGACGUUACCAACAGAAUAAGCACCGGCUAACUUCGUG